UCCUGGCUCAGAACGAACGCUGGCGGCGUGGAUAAGACAUGCAAGUCGAACGAGAGAAUUGCUAGCUUGCUAAUAAUUCUCUAGUGGCGCACGGGUGAGUAACACGUGAGUAACCUGCCCCCGAGAGCGGGAUAGCCCUGGGAAACUGGGAUUAAUACCGCAUAGUAUCGAAAGAUUAAAGCAGCAAUGCGCUUGGGGAUGGGCUCGCGGCCUAUUAGUUAGUUGGUGAGGUAACGGCUCACCAAGGCGAUGACGGGUAGCCGGUCUGAGAGGAUGUCCGGCCACACUGGAACUGAGACACGGUCCAGACACCUACGGGUGGCAGCAGUCGAGAAUCAUUCACAAUGGGGGAAACCCUGAUGGUGCGACGCCGCGUGGGGGAAUGAAGGUCUUCGGAUUGUAAACCCCUGUCAUGUGGGAGCAAAUUAAAAAGAUAGUACCACAAGAGGAAGAGACGGCUAACUCUGUGCCAGCAGCCGCGGUAAUACAGAGGUCUCAAGCAUUGUUCGGAAUCACUG
rnacentral:rRNA from 1 species